rnacentral:rRNA from 1 species
AUGAAGUCGGAGUUGCUAGUAAUCGCGGAUCAGCAUGCCGCGGUGAAUACGUUCCCGGGCCUUGUACACACCGCCCGUCACACCAUGGGAGUUGGGAGCACCCGAAGCCGGUGAGGUAAACCGAAAGGAGCCAGCCGUCGAAGGUGAGACCAAUGACUGGGGUGAAGUCGUAACAAGGUAUC